CCUACGGGAGGCAGCAGUGAGGAAUAUUGGUCAAUGGGCUUACGCCUGAACCAGCCAAGUCGCGUGCGGGAAGACUGCCCUAUGGGUUGUAAACCUCUUUUGUCAGGGAGCAAUUGGCGCUACGUGUAGCGUUAUCGAGAGUACCUGAAGAAAAGGCAUCGGCUAUCUCCGUGCCAGCAGCCGCGGUAAUACGGAGGAUGCGAGCGUUAUCCGGUUUUAUUGGGUUUAAGGGGUGCGUAGGCGGAAUGCCAAGUCAGCGGUAAAAUCGCGGGGCACAACCGCGCACCGCCGUUGAAACUGGCGUGCUUGAGUGCGCGAGAAGUAUGCGGAAUGCGUGGUGUAGCGGUGAAAUGCAUAGAUAUCACGCAGAACUCCGAUUGCGAAGGCAGCAUACCGGCGCCCAACUGACGCUGAAGCACGAAAGCGUGGGUAUCGAACAGGAUUAGAUACCCUAGUAGUC
rnacentral:rRNA from 1 species